CCUACGGGUGGCAGCAGUGGGGAAUAUUGGACAAUGGGCGAAAGCCUGAUCCAGCCAUGCCGCGUGUGUGAAGAGGGCCUUCGGGUUGUAAAGCACUUUCAGUGGGGAAGAAAGCCUUGGGGCUAAUACCCUCGAGGAAGGACAUCACCCACAGAAGAAGCACCGGCUAACUCCGUGCCAGCAGCCGCGGUAAUACGGAGGGUGCGAGCGUUAAUCGGAAUUACUGGGCGUAAAGCGCGCGUAGGCGGUCUGAUAAGCCGGUUGUGAAAGCCCCGGGCUCAACCUGGGAACGGCAUCCGGAACUGUCAGGCUAGAGUGCAGGAGAGGAAGGUAGAAUUCCCGGUGUAGCGGUGAAAUGCGUAGAGAUCGGGAGGAAUACCAGUGGCGAAGGCGGCCUUCUGGACUGACACUGACGCUGAGGUGCGAAAGCGUGGGUAGCAAACAGGAUUAGAUACCCCAGUAGUC
rnacentral:rRNA from 1 species